GGCAACCCGCUUGGGUCCCCUUCCACACUGUGGAGGCUUUGUUCUUUCGCUCUUUGCAGUAAAUCUUGCUACUGCUCACUCUUUGGGUCCACACUGCCUUUAUGAGCUGUAACACUCACCUCGAAGGUCUGCAGCUUCACUCCUGAGCCAGCGAGACUACGAACCCACCAGAAGGAAUAAACUCCGAACACAUCCGAACAUCAGAAGGAACAAACUCCGGACACGCUGCCUUUAAGAACUGUAACACUCACUGCGAGGGUCUGCGGCUUCAUUCUUGAAGUCAGUGAGACCAAGAACCCACCAAUUCCGGACACAGGAGGAUCGCUUGAGCCCAGGAAUUCAAGACCAGCCUGGGCAACACAGCAACACCCCAUCUCUACAAAAGUUGUAAAAUCAGCUAGGCGUGAUGGGGUGCAUCUGUAGUCCUAGCUACUUAGGAGGCUAAGGCGAGAGGAUCACUUGAGCCCAGGAGGCUGAGGCUGCAGUGAGCCAUGAUUGCACCACUGCACUCCAGCUGGGGUGACAAAAUGCAGUCACUGAGGCCCCAAGGAGUUAAGCGAUCUGCCUAAGAUUACAUGCCUUUGUUUAUAUGUGUUGGAAUUUUUUAA